GAUGAACGCUGGCGGCGUGCCUAAUACAUGCAAGUCGAACGAACUUCCGUUAAUUGAUUAUGACGUACUUGUACUGAUUGAGAUUUUAACACGAAGUGAGUGGCGAACGGGUGAGUAACACGUGGGUAACCUGCCCAGAAGUAGGGGAUAACACCUGGAAACAGAUGCUAAUACCGUAUAACAGAGAAAACCGCAUGGUUUUCUUUUAAAAGAUGGCUCUGCUAUCACUUCUGGAUGGACCCGCGGCGUAUUAGCUAGUUGGUGAGGUAAAGGCUCACCAAGGCAGUGAUACGUAGCCGACCUGAGAGGGUAAUCGGCCACAUUGGGACUGAGACACGGCCCAGACUCCUACGGGAGGCAGCAGUAGGGAAUCUUCCACAAUGGACGAAAGUCUGAUGGAGCAACGCCGCGUGAGUGAAGAAGGGUUUCGGCUCGUAAAGCUCUGUUGUUAAAGAAGAACGUGGGUAAGAGUAACUGUUUACCCAGUGACGGUAUUUAACCAGAAAGCCACGGCUAACUACGUGCCAGCAGCCGCGGUAAUACGUAGGUGGCAAGCGUUAUCCGGAUUUAUUGGGCGUAAAGCGAGCGCAGGCGGUCUUUUAAGUCUAAUGUGAAAGCCUUCGGCUCAACCGAAGAAGUGCAUUGGAAACUGGGAGACUUGAGUGCAGAAGAGGACAGUGGAACUCCAUGUGUAGCGGUGAAAUGCGUAGAUAUAUGGAAGAACACCAGUGGCGAAGGCGGCUGUCUGGUCUGCAACUGACGCUGAGGCUCGAAAGCAUGGGUAGCGAACAGGAUUAGAUACCCUGGUAGUCCAUGCCGUAAACGAUGAUUACUAAGUGUUGGAGGGUUUCCGCCCUUCAGUGCCAAGUAACGCAUUAAGUAAUCCGCCUGGGGAGUACGACCGCAAGGUUGAAACUCAAAAGAAUUGACGGGGGCCCGCACAAGCGGUGGAGCAUGUGGUUUAAUUUGAAGCUACGCGAAGAACCUUACCAGGUCUUGACAUUUUUACAGUCUAAGAGAUUAGAGGUUCCCUUCGGGGACAGAAUGACAGGUGUGCAUGGUUGUCGUCAGCUCGUGUCGUGAGAUGUUGGGUUAAGUCCCGCAACGAGCGCAACCCUUAUUACUAGUUGCCAGCAUUAAGUUGGGCACUCUAGUGAGACUGCCGGUGACAAACCGGAGGAAGGUGGGGACGACGUCAAAUCAUCAUGCCCCUUAUGACCUGGGCUACACACGUGCUACAAUGGAUGGUACAACGAGUCGCGAGCUCGCGAGGUUAAGCUAAUUUUUUAAAACCAUUCUCAGUUCGGACUGUAGGCUGCAACUCGCCUACACGAAAUUGGAAUCGCUAGUAAUCGCGGAUCAGCAUGCCGCGGUGAAUACGUUCCCGGUGUAUGUUCCGCCCGUCUUUGUAUUUUGUAACAGGGUCACUUUAGAGUUUAACCUUG
rnacentral:rRNA from 1 species